AAAAGUGAAAGGUGGAAAUUCAUUUGGUGAAAAAACCGAAGGAUUUCCCGAGCAAAGAAAAGUUAGCCCAAAAAAGAAAAGACAAAAAAUGAGGCAAAAACAGAGAGUAUUGGGAUUUUAUUCAAAGGGUGGUUGCCCCUCUCUGUUUAGCCAAUGAUUUUCCUUUUCCACUUAAAAAAAAAUCAACAGCCCUUGAAUUCAUGGAAAUAUGUACAGUCUAUACUUGAGCAUCAACAACAACACCCAGAUCUCUGUUUUCUGUGAUUUUUCCCCUCCGUUUUGGUUCAUAACAAUAGAGGCAAUGAUGAUGAUAUUUUAUUCUGAUUCUGGGCUAACUAGGUCGGGCAUAGAGACUAUCCGACCCGUAUCUUGGCCUGGCGAAUCGAAGGUAUUUUCUUUGCAUGCAACCGGUGAUUUUGCAGCCAUGGCGCGGUUGCCUCUCUUUUGCCCGAUCUCUCUUUGCAGAUCUGAGCCUCUUAAGUACUGUGAAAUAGAUCUAAAACUUCUUCUUCUUUGAAUUUCAACUACUUUUUGCCUCUAAGUGUUAGCUUAAGCAUCAGACCAAAAGAAUGAGGAUUUUGAGAAAGAUUGAGUUCUUCUGCCAAAAGCAUUUUCUUCACUAUGAUUCUGUGUAAGAAAAAUUAUUUUCUAAAUAAUUUCAUUCUGUACUGUAAAUAAUUUUGGUCGUGUCAAACAUGUAUUUCCCAGGACAGGCAAAACCAAAAUAUUCCAUUCAUGAUUUAACAAAACCAAAUUCAAUUGAUCCACCAUGUUAAGUGGUACAGUGUGCCCAAAAUACCUUUAACUUUACUGCAGAUAAGCCUACUAUAGCGUAAAUAAGCGUACAUCAGAGGGCAAAACAAGAAAUAUCGAUGCCUUAAAUUAUUCUCUUUAAGACAGCAGAGAAAAACAAAGAAUGAGAGUUGGAUCAGAGUAGAGGGAAGCUCAAGGGUAGCUGCUCCUCUCUACAAUUCCUGUGAUUUCAUUUUUGCCAAAAAAUGCCCUUCUGCAGUAAACUAUAUCCAAACGACCUCUCUACUCUAACUCCAAAUCCUCACUCCCAAAAAGAGAAUACUAACAACAACAACAUCGCAAUAUAAUUACACUGGGGUCUGGGAAUGUUAGUUUUACACAGACUUUAUCCCUACCUGGAUAGUAGAGAAGCUGUUUCCGAUAGACCCUAGCUUCCCUCUCUCUCUCUCAUAACUCCCUGCUUGCUUGACUCGAACUCAUAAUCUCUUGGUUGGAACUAUCUUGCUCUUGGGUGACUGAACUCACAACCUCUUGGAGGGUGCUCACCACUGGAGCAACCCAAGCAAAAAUCUGAGGCUGUGAUUAUGAUUUUUUCUUCUGUCUCUGAGCAACUUGAUUAGGGCAGGAGAAUAAUCGGAACCGUAACUUGGCGGGGCAAUUCAGACGGUGACGACUUGCAACCAGUGUUUGCAGCCAUGGCGGUGUCUCCAAUCUCUUCCCUUAUCUUCAACAUUACAAAUCUGAGCCUCAAUUGGAAGGUUAUUUUCUUAAGUGCAAACUUACAACGCUCUUUUCCGUUAAAUUUUGAAAUUCGCAGGUGAAAAACCCACGAGAAUUUCCCCUAAAAAUGCAAAAAGGUUAGCCCAGAAAGAAAUGAGGCAAAGCAGAGAAUAUUGGGAUUUUCAUUAGAAGGGUGGUUGCCCCUCUCCGUUCCCUGAUUUUCCUCCAUUUUCAAAAAAAAAAAAAAACCAAACAGCCCCUGUUUAUGACAAAAGCAGAAGCAGACAGGAUUUAAGUGGGCGUUUGGACAUAAGAAUUGUGAAAUUCCGAAAAAAGUAAAAUCUUUUUCAGUGAAAUCUGUAUUUACUUUUUGUGUGUGUGUGUUUAUGUUGCUGAUGGAAGUUACAUAAAGAGGCAGUGAUGAUGAUGUUUCUUGUAUCUGGGCUAACCAAUUUGGGCAUAGAGAUGACCCGACCCGUAUCUUGGCUUGGCAACCCGGUAUGGCCUGUGUUUGAGAUUUCUGUCUCUCACUUGCAACUGGUGUUUUGCAGCCAUGGCGUAGCUGGCUUCUCUUUGCCUUAUCAUAACACAUCUGAGUCCCAUUUGUUGAAAAGAAAAAAAGAAGAUAAUCUUUUCUUAUGAUUUGGAUUAACAGGAAAAUAGGGAGGCAAGCCUUGGAGCAAUGGUAAAGUUGUAUUCGUGUGACUUACAGAUCACAGUUUCGAGCCGUGAAAGUAGCUACUAAUGCUUGAUUAGGGUAUGCUAUUUACAUCACACCCCUUGGGUGCGGCCCUUUGCCGGAUCCUACGUGAACGCGGGAUGCCUUGUGCACUGGGUUGCCCUUGGAUUAACAGGAAAAUAGCAAAAAACUCAUUAGCUUAAGUCUGAGGUUGCGGUGAAGCAAAGAGCUGUAGGGAGUUUCAUUGGGUGGUUUUGCUGCUCUUUGUCAAUUCUCCGCCGCCAAUGAUCACUCAAAUGUACGAUUGCAAAACCACCUGUUUGGUGAAAAUGCGUAUUACUCCCCUGUUUCAAUUUAUGCGACGCGAUAAGGCUAUAAAGAUUUAAUUCUUCUCUGGAAGAUCAAUCAGACAUAUAAAUAUAUUGAGCUGGGAAAAAAUUGUAAUCUUGGCGUGGCAGCUCAGAUGGUCUGUGAGAUAUUGGAGAAAAAUCCAAAUGUUUUGUGUUUUUUUUUUCCUGUUUCAUAAGAUUAACUGAUGUUUGCAGCCAUGGAGGUCUUUUGCCAAAGCUUUUUGGGUUUUUGUCUGAGCAAAGGCAAAUUUGAGCCUACCCCAUUGUCUGGAUUAAAGGUGCUGGGAUGAUAAAUACUACUUCUAGGGUGGCUUAAAGAAAUGAUGCAAAACAGAUGGGAUUUUCUUUAAAGGGUGGUUGCCCCUCUCUGUUCUGCUGUUGAUUUUCUCUAUAUUCAGAAAAUACCAACAGCUCUUGUCAUGGAAAAAGAUGAAACAAGAACUGGAAAUAUAAUUAAACAAUACUGCUCUCCCCACACUAGCGUGAGCCAGGGGUCUCUUGGAAAUAGCCUCUCUACCUGCACAAGGUUGGAUAAGGGUGAUCCAAUAUGGCUUUAUGUAGCAAACUGGUGUCUGCAGCGAUAGCAUCAUCACAUUCUCUUUUGUUUUGUUUGGAAAUCGCCUUCUCCGCGGAGUCGGUCAUGGAGAUGACCUGACCAGUAUCUCAGCAUGGCAACCCGGUAUGGCGUCUGAUUGAGCUCUAUUUGCAUGCAACCGAUGUUGUGCUGCCAUUGCGUGGUGGCCUUCCCUUUUGCCUUCUUCUAGUAUGGAUCUGAGCCUCAAUAUACUUCAGAAAAAGAACCUUUUUCUUGGUUCAAGGGGUGUGAUUGAGCCUUCGGCUUUCAGGUUACAUAUUAGAAGAAAAAGCAUUUUGCAUCCCUAAUAUUUCACCACACCUGUUGAUGAAGUUGUUCCGCUGGCUGUGUUUUCAACACAUCGAAACUGUGAUAACAACUGAUAAUGCAUCAAUCCCGAACUUGGUGGGAAAAUUUCUUUCAACUUCUGGAAUCAAACUCGGGUCUCUUGAAUGAGAGCCAGAUAUCCUAGCUGACUGGACUACAACGGCAAAACGAGGACAUAGUACAGAACUGAAAGAGCCUGUGAUGAUAAUUCCUGUACACAAGGAAUUGAGGAUUGAGUUGAAGAGGCUCGCCUCUUGGCGGGGCAACCCGAUUUUGAAGGUGCUUUAAGGCCCGGAUGCAGCUUGGGUUGCAGCCAUGGCGGUCUGCUCAUUGCCUUAUGAUUAUACACAUCUGAGCUGCCUUCUUAUUUUAGGUGAUGUUGACCUCUAGGGUACAGUGGUAAAUGGAGCGUUUAUAGUAUGGCUUAUCUUUGAAGGACUAAACUGGCUUGGAGUUGAUCAACCGGUUAUUGAAACUGGAAGUUUUCUGUGGUGCCACAGUAGUGAUGAACUUAUCAUUUAAACAACUUUGAAUUGCUUUCUUAUUGUUCGGGCAAUGUUAUUCCCCUUAGGCCAUCUCCAAUGCCAACUGCAUUUGCUCAGUUGGUUUUUGGAGAAAUUGGCCUCCAAUGCCAUUUUUGGCUGCAAAAUGGCCUCCAUUACUAUUCCGUAUUACUUUAUUAUUAUUUUUAUUAUUCAACUCUUUUA